rnacentral:rRNA from 1 species
AGCGAACGCUGGCGGCAGGCCUAACACAUGCAAGUCGAACGAAGUCUUCGGACUUAGUGGCGGACUGGUGAGUAACACGUGGGAACGUGCCUUUAGGUUCGGAAUAACUCAGGGAAACUUGUGCUAAUACCGAGUGUGCCCUUCGGGGGAAAGAUUUAUCGCCUUUAGAGCGGCCCGCGUCUGAUUAGCUAGUUGGUGAGGUAAAGGCUCACCAAGGCGACGAUCAGUAGCUGGUCUGAGAGGAUGAUCAGCCACAUUGGGACUGAGACACGGCCCAAACUCCUACGGGAGGCAGCAGUGGGGAAUCUUGUGCAAUGGGCGAAAGCCUGACGCAGACAUGCCGCGUGAAUGAUGAAGGUCUUAGGAUUGUAAAAUUCUUUCACCGGGGACGAUAAUGACGGUACCCGGAGAAGAAGCCCCGGCUAACUUCGUGCCAGCCGCCGCCGUAACAC